UGGGGAAUGAUUGCACAAUGGGCGCAAGCCUGAUGCAGCCAUGCCGCGUGCGUGAAGAAGGCCUUCGGGUUGUAAAGCACUUUCAGCGAGGAGGAAGGUGGUGAACUUAAUACGUUCAUCAAUUGACGUUACUCGCAGAAGAAGCACCGGCUAACUCCGUGCCAGCAGCCGCGGUAAUACGGAGGGUGCAAGCGUUAAUCGGAAUUACUGGGCGUAAAGCGCACGCAGGCGGUUUGUUAAGUCAGAUGUGAAAUCCCCGGGCUCAACCUGGGAACCGCAUUUGAACUGGCAAGCUAGAGUCUCGUAGAGGGGGUAGAAUUCCAGGUGGUAGCGGUGAAAUGCGUAGAGAUCUGGAGGAAUACCGGUGGCGAAGGCGGCCCCCUGGACGAAGACUGACCGCUCAGGUGCGAAAGCGUGGGGAGCAAA
rnacentral:rRNA from 1 species